rnacentral:tRNA from 1 species
GCGUCGAUGGUGUAAUGGUUAGCAUACUUGCCUUCCAAGCAGGUGUUCCGGGUUCAAUUCCCGGUCGACGCA